rnacentral:rRNA from 1 species
UACGUAGGGGGCUAGCGUUGUCCGGAUUUACUGGGCGUAAAGAGCGCGUAGGCGGAAGGUGAAGCGUGGCCUGAAAGCCCCCGGCUCAACCGGGGAAGGCGGCUGCGAACUGGCCUUCUUGAGGGCGAUAGAGGGGGGCGGAAUUCCUGGUGUAGCGGUGAAAUGCGUAGAGAUCAGGAGGAACACCCGUGGCGAAGGCGGCCCCCUGGGUCGGCCCUGACGCUGAGGCGCGAAAGCGUGGGGAGCGAACAGG